rnacentral:rRNA from 1 species
AUUGAACGCUGGCGGCAUGCUUUACACGUGCAAGUCGAACGGUAACAGGUUAAGCUGACGAGUGGCGAACGGGUGAGUAAUGCAUCGGAACGUGCCCGAUCGUGGGGGAUAACACUUCGAAAGAAGUGCUAAUACCGCAUACGAUCUGAGGAUGAAAGCGGGGGACCGUAAGGCCUCGCGCGAUCGGAGCGGCCGAUGUCAGAUUAGGUAGUUGGUGGGGUAAAGGCUCACCAAGCCGACGAUCUGUAGCUGGUCUGAGAGGACGACCAGCCACACUGGGACUGAGACACGGCCCAGACUCCUACGGGAGGCAGCAGUGGGGAAUUUUGGACAAUGGGCGCAAGCCUGAUCCAGCAAUGCCGCGUGCAGGAAGAAGGCCUUCGGGUUGUAAACUGCUUUUGUACGGAGCGAAAAGGCUCCCUCUAAUACAGGGGGCUCAUGACGGUACCGUAAGAAUGAGCACCGGCUAACUACGUGCCAGCAGCCGCAGUAA